CCUACGGGUAGCAACAGUGGGGAAUAUUGGACAAUGGGCGAAAGCCUGAUCCAGCCAUGCCGCGUGUGUGAAGAAGGCCUUCGGGUUGUAAAGCACUUUCAGUGGGGAAGAAAGCCUUGGGGCUAAUACCCUCGAGGAAGGACAUCACCCACAGAAGAAGCACCGGCUAACUCCGUGCCAGCAGCCGCGGUAAUACGGAGGGUGCGAGCGUUAAUCGGAAUUACUGGGCGUAAAGCGCGCGUAGGCGGUCUGAUAAGCCGGUUGUGAAAGCCCCGGGCUCAACCUGGGAACGGCAUCCGGAACUGUCAGGCUAGAGUGCAGGAGAGGAAGGUAGAAUUCCCGGUGUAGCGGUGAAAUGCGUAGAGAUCGGGAGGAAUACCAGUGGCGAAGGCGGCCUUCUGGACUGACACUGACGCUGAGGUGCGAAAGCGUGGGUAGCAAACAGGAUUAGAUACCCUAGUAGUC
rnacentral:rRNA from 1 species